rnacentral:lncRNA from 1 species
GUACUUUCCACUCUUUUCUAAUGGACCUUGUGCUGAAUCUCGCAGGCCUGAAUAGAGUUUGGAAAUCCAGAAUGGAUCUGUGUUGUGCUCUCAGGUUAUUCCCGAGUUACAUCACGAUUCCUCAGGCUUCCUGCUGUUCAGUGGGACUGAUGAACAGAUGUCUGUGGUGCCUAACAUCUCCUUGCUGAAGCUGUGACACAUAGAUAAUGUCAAUGGUAAGCAUGCAGGCACGCUGCUGAUAUAACACAAAAUAUCUGGGUCGUAGUCAGGCAGACAUCUCCACGUUUGCCAAGUAGCCAAGUCCUCCAUUUAUCCAGUAGAAAAAGUGGAAUUAUUUAAAAUUAUUUUAAAUUAUUUAGAAUUAUUUAAAGUUGUAAGUCAUGCUACACCCUAUAAUUUUCUUUCUUGCCUACAGUUUUUCAUCGUAUGUGCUUUAAUGGGCAACCUUAUAGCCUGGAUUGUGAUCAGCAGAGGCCCUCUUCCUUUGAGGAACCCCACAUACAACUAACUGAAGGCUUCUUGGGAUGCAGGAGGAAUGAUCUUGUGCUGCAGGUAUGGAAACGACUGCUCAGAUGUCCUCACACAGUUCCCACAGAUGCCAGUGCCAGCUUGGGAAGCUCAUAUGCCCCUGUCCCCAGCGCCACUCCGUAAGAUGCACCAGGACAGCUGUUCGCAGGGCGACUGGAGAAACCAAGAACAGAACCAGGAAGAAUCCCUCCUUUUUAAGGUUAGUUUUAACACGGCCUGCUGAUGGCUAGCACUGCUGCUGGAAGAAAUUGUGGUUCCACUGGGAUGGAAUAUGGAGUGAGAACCAUACGCCUUCUGAUUCUCCCUACUUGUCUUGGUGGGAUUCUCAUGACUGAACAUAGUUCUGUAUAGCAGAG